GCAGAAGCCUCAUGGAUUUCUGUGCCAUCGUAGACACCACAGCCAGACAAGACCACAGCGACGCGGGCGCCGCGAGGGCGGCGGGCGGAGCAGUGGAAGGAGGCGAAGCCGCAGGGCGCUGCCCGCCGCAGCGCGGAGCACAGGGCCGGCCCGCGGGCGGGCAGCAUAGUCGCGGGGGCUCGGAGCGAGGCCGGAGGGCUGACGGAACGCGGAGCCGGAGCAAGGCAG
rnacentral:lncRNA from 1 species